AGAGUUUGAUCCUGGCUCAGAACGAACGCUGGCGGCAGGCCUCAAACAUGCAAGUCUAGGGGGUGCAGCAAUGCAUCACCGGCGGACGGGUGCGUAACGCGUGGGAAUAUACCUAUUGGUUCGGAACAACUGCGGGAAACUGCAGCUAAUACCGAAUGUGCCCUCACGGGGAAAGAUUUAUCGCCAACGGAUUAGCCCGCGUCCGAUUAGCUAGUUGGUGGGGUAAAAGCUCACCAAGGCUUCGAUCGGUAGCUGGUCUGAGAGGACGAUCAGCCACACUGGGAUUGAGAACGGCCCAGACUCCUACGGGAGGUUGCGGUCGAGGAUCUUCGGCAAUGGGCGCAAGCCUGACCGAGCGACGCCGCGUGGGCGAUGAAGGCCUUCGGGUUGUAAAGCCCUUUAGUGGGGGAGGAAGGCGCAAGCUUGACCUAUCCCAAGAAUAAGCACGGGCUAAGUUCGUGCCAGCAGCCGCGGUAAU
rnacentral:rRNA from 1 species